UGGGGAAUAUUGGACAAUGGGCGAAAGCCUGAUCCAGCCAUGCCGCGUGUGUGAAGAAGGUCUUCGGAUUGUAAAGCACUUUAAGUUGGGAGGAAGGGCAGUAAGCGAAUACCUUGCUGUUUUGACGUUACCGACAGAAUAAGCACCGGCUAACUCUGUGCCAGCAGCCGCGGUAAUACAGAGGGUGCGAGCGUUAAUCGGAUUUACUGGGCGUAAAGCGUGCGUAGGCGGCUGAUUAAGUCGGAUGUGAAAUCCCUGAGCUUAACUUAGGAAUUGCAUUCGAUACUGGUCAGCUAGAGUAUGGGAGAGGAUGGUAGAAUUCCAGGUGUAGCGGUGAAAUGCGUAGAGGUCUGGAGGAAUACCGAUGGCGAAGGCAGCCAUCUGGCCUAAUACUGACGCUGAGGUACGAAAGCAUGGGGAGCAAACAGG
rnacentral:rRNA from 1 species